CUACGUGCCAGCAGCCGCGGUAAUACGGAGGAUGCGAGCGUUAUCCGGAUUUAUUGGGUUUAAAGGGUGCGUAGGCGGCCUGUUAAGUCAGCGGUGAAAUCUAGGAGCUUAACUCCUAAAUUGCCAUUGAUACUGGUGGGCUUGAGUGUAGAUGAGGUAGGCGGAAUGCGUGGUGUAGCGGUGAAAUGCUUAGAUAUCACGAAGAACUCCGAUCGCGAAGGCAGGUGUCCGGGCUGCAACUGACGCUGAGGCUCGAAAGUGUGGGUAUCAAACAGGAUUAGAUACCCUGGUAGUCCACACAGUAAACGAUGUAUACUCGCGGUUUGCGAUAGACAGUAAGCCGCCAAGCGAAAGCAUUAAGUAUACCACCUGGGGAGUACGCCGGCAACGGUGAAACUCAAAGGAAUUGACGGGGGCCCGCACAAGCGGAGGAACAUGUGGUUUAAUUCGAUGAUACGCGAGGAACCUUACCCGGGCUUGAAC
rnacentral:rRNA from 1 species